AUUAAACGUAUUAACGUAUUGCUAAAGUAUUUUUUAAAUGUUGAAAGUCAAUCUGAAAAGCUAUCGUGUUGUUCUGCGAAAACAUCGUGGUAAAGACAAAAUGUCCUACUGGCUCUUUGUCCAUUUGAGUCAAGUUUAAAGUCAAAACAUUGUGAAUUUGGCAAACAUUAAUGUUGGGAAACCAAAAUAAGUUUUUUGUCGAUACACCGGCACCUUCCGGUUGAGUUCUCGGUUCAUCACACAGUGGAAAUUCAUCUUUACAUAAUCUGGUCCCACUUUUCUCGUUUUCAAUCACUCUUUGACAGACCCAAUAAAGCACAGUAGAUUAAGAUUACUUUUCAGUUAAGAUAACGAAUCUUUAUCAGGUAUAUAUUGCAUUAGCUGCCCCCAUUUUUUGUCUUACGUUACAGCAUGCUGUUCCAUUGUGAACAACCAAACAUAUUCUUGAUUCAAGUAGAAUUUCUAUUUCAAUGCUAACAAUUGAUUUGGACUUGCCUGCAAAUCCAACCGGUAGUAAUGACGAGACAAAGUGCCUUCUGGUUAUCAAUUAGCUUUCUGUUGUGUCUACGUGGCGAACCUUCAGUUGUCAGUUCCCAAUAUCAGACGGGGAGACAAAGAGACGGACGAGCAGUGACAGAACUUUCCCAUCUCGACAGCGAUUUCGAAAAUGGAAUUCUGGACCCGUGGAUUGAAGAGUCGCUGACAAGCGGUGUUCAAUGGAAAAUUGAAAACCGAAUUUCACCCUGGGAUUUGAAUAACAAAGCGCCCCCGCAACAGAAUAAUGGGAAAAGUUAUCUCAGAGUCGAUCGUGGAACCAAUUUCAAGUUUGGCGUGGCUGUUUUGCGAAGUCCGGCCUUUUCACUUCCGUCUAGUGAAAGUGACCUUUCUUUUUCUUUCUGGAUUCGUUCGAAAUGGCCACAAUACACAAAUCUCGAGUUGUACUUGGCAGAAAACGGAAACGAAAGGCUGAUGUUAAGCUUGUACAAUUAUUCGGUUGUAACCAAUCAAGCAUGGGAGACGCAAUCCAUUUCACUCAUCGGCAGUUCAUCUUCUAAUACUUUUUCAUUGGUGUUUUACGCUUAUUGCGGAACCGACCCGGAAGAUGCUGUUGCUAUAGACGAUAUCCGAUUUACCUCAAACCAGUUCACAGAGAUGCAAACGACUCCGUCGGUUGAAACGACUAUGGACACGCAAUCGACUGCUACUAACCCCGAAUCCACAGCAAUGACCACCACGAUCCUUGCGGCAUCGACGACACCUUCAGAACAAACCACAACGACCACUACAUCUACCAGCACCGUGACUACCGUCACCACAGAAGUCCCAACGACAACAAUAUCUGCAUCCUUCACGUGCCCAGACACUUCUGAAAAGAAAUAUCCAGAUCCGGAAAACCCUUGCAACGGGAAAUAUUAUCAGUGUUCCGAGGGCAUAGCAACACUCACGGAUUGCCAAGCAAAUCUUAUCUUUAAUAGCAAUGCGCAACUGUGUAUUCCCUGCAGCCUGGUACUCGCAUGUGCCGCGGAAUGCGACGAAUAAAUUGGAGACCAGUGUUUGGAGUGGUAGUGACCUGGAUUGACGAGGCUGAAAGAAGAGGUGGCUGAUGGUUAAUACUAAAUAAACCCUUGCACAAAAAAUUGGAUAUCGAAGUCGGUAUGUACGCCAUAACUCAUAACUAUAAUUCACGGAUCAGGUAAAGACAAUAAACAAUUGUAGAAAUUCCUAAACAUUUUGAAACUGUAAGUGCCGACUUAGGACGUCAUUCAUUAUCUUUAUAUUGUUAUCUCGACAUCAUCCAACGUAAUUGUCACGCCCGGUGGAGCUUAAGCUCAGUCUCAGUUGCGAUAACGUUCCAUUGCAUCGUGCCGUCUGUACAGCGUGAUUAAUUUAUCUAUUUUCAUAACACCGUCCAGCAAGUUCUAGAUUCGGCCAAAGUUACAAAAUUGUGAAUCGAAACAGAGUGAUGAUGAGGCACAGUAGUUCACUUUUAAUUUCAAUUGGCAUCCUCUUGGGCUUUUUUGGCCAGUCAUCAGUUAUUGUCAAUUCCCAGACGUGCGCCGUUAAAGGCGAAGGAAAGGGAUUCGCUUAUCUUUCAUCCGGUCUAGACAAUAAUUUUGAAAGCGGAGAACUGCAGCCGUGGAUUGAAGAAUCAACGACGAGUGUCAAAUGGAAAAUCGAGGAUUAUUUUUCACCCUGGGAGACGAGUAAUGCAUCACCUCAACCGCUCAACGGUCAAACUUAUCUACGCGUUCAUCGUGGACCUUCUCUAUCAUUUGGAAUAGCCGUUUUGCGGAGUCCAACCUUUACACUAUUUCCAAACGAGAAUUCCGUUUUCUCUUUUUCAUUCUGGAUUCGUUCAAAAUGGCCCCAAUUCACCAAUCUCGAGUUAUACUUGGCAGAAAACGGAAACGAAAAAUUGCUUUCAAGUCUUUACAAUUAUUCGGACAUCACCAAUCUAGAGUGGCGGACACAUUCGGUGACAUUGAUUGGUGAUUCUCCGUCUACAUUAUCGUUGGCAUUCUACGCGUAUUGCGGGACAAAUGUCGAAGACGCUGUUGCUAUCGAUGAUAUCGUACUCACCUUGUCGCAACAGUCGACAACAAUUUCAUUUAGUGUGACAGACUUCACAACAGAAGAGAUAACAACUACCGUGAUCCCAAACACAGACACACCCACCACAACACCUCCCGAAAUUACUUUCACCAGCAGUACGUCAACUACCACGACUCCUACCACGACUCCUACCACGACUCCUACCACGACUCCUACCACAACUCCUACCACGACUCCUACCUCGACUCCUACCUCGACUCCUACCUCGACUCCUACAACGACUCCUACAACGACUCCUACAACGACUCCUACAACGACUCCUACAACGACUCCUACAACGGAAUUUACCACAAUUCCAUCUACAGAAAGCCCCACAUCACCAACAACAAUGACGUAUGAUACAACAACGAUAGCUAAUUUUUUCACUUGCCCAGAUAAUAUCGACUUUAAAUAUCCGGACCCGAAUAAUCCGUGCAGCAGGAAAUAUUAUCACUGUGAAAACUGUGUGGCGACGGAGCAAGAAUGUCCUCAAAAGCAGAUAUUCUAUAAUCAGACGCAAUCGUGCCGCCCCUGCGUGCAGGUACCCUCAUGUGAUGACGAAUGCAGAAAUUGAUUUCGAACCUGCUUGCUGUCGUUUAUUUAAGUAACAGAGAAAAUUCGUAUCACUCAUUUUAAUUGCCUGUUGUUGAAUGCCUCCCUAAUUACCGUUUGACUUCGAUAUUAUUUAACCAAUGCAUGUAAUUAUAGCUUUUGUAUUCUGUCUUUUUCCAUUGAAAUAAUUGUUAUAACCGUGACAAUCGACAAAAUUUGUUAAGAGUUGUUAAUGCCAAAAAAACACGAUCGAAAGGGAAAGUAGUCUAUUCUGUUGCCAAGACAAUAAUACGUUUGUUGUGACAUCUCGUUAAAACCACAAAGGACUUUAUGUACUAUCUGACUCUUGGUACCUAUUGAAAUUGACAUUUGGACAUCCUAUUGUGUUGAAUCGUUUCCGAUUAAUAAAAAAUCUUUCAUUAUUCUUUUAAAUCACUUUAUGCAUAGAGCUCAUUGUUUAUCCCUAUUCUAGGCAUUGAAUUCGGGGAAGUAAAAGCCUAAAAGGGAAAACAACUGGCGUUGAGAAUGACCAUCGAAGUGUGAAAACCGUUUGCAAAGCGGACUAUAUUUAAACACAUCCGCACAGUUCAGACAUCCAUCAGUCUCUUGCUUGACACCACUGCAGAUUUAUUUUCAAACAAAAUGAAUACUUCAAUGAUUUUCCUAUUUUUCGUCUUAUGCCUGGUUGGAGUAGCAAUGGCCGGAGUCACCCGCUACGGUUUCGCUAACGCCGGCUUCCAGCCUGGUGGAGGCAUUGCAAGUUCUGGUCACGGUGGCUACGGACGCGGCUACAAUACAUUCGGAACGAACGUCUAUUACGGAGGUGGAGUUGGAGGAGCCUUUGGAGGCUCUAGCCACUAUGGGCGCUAGAAAUAAUGUUUUCUUCCAACCGACCAAGAAUGAGACGAGAAUUGAGUUAAGACCAUUUGUUUCGUGAACGCGACGUCAAGGAAAAUUUCAGAAUAAUUUAAGUGUUUCCAAAGAAUUUAUUACCCAUGACAAUACACGGAAAAAUCCCAUAUCCUGAG